CGGCGGCCGUAACUAUAACGGUCCUAAGGUAGCGAAAUUCCUUGUCGGUUAAAUACCGACCUGCAUGAAUGGCGUAACGAGAUGGGAGCUGUCUCAACCAGAGAUUCAGUGAAAUUGUAGUGGAGGUGAAAAUUCCUCCUACCCGCGGCAAGACGGAAAGACCCCGUGGAC
rnacentral:rRNA from 1 species